rnacentral:rRNA from 1 species
CCUUCGGGAGGCAGCAGUGGGGAAUAUUGCACAAUGGGCGCAAGCCUGAUGCAGCCAUGCCGCGUGUAUGAAGAAGGCCUUCGGGUUGUAAAGUACUUUCAGUCGUGAGGAAGGUGUUAAGGUUAAUAACCUUAGCAAUUGACGUUAGCGACAGAAGAAGCACCGGCCAACUCCGUGCCAGCAGCCGCGGUAAUACGGAGGUUGCGAGCGUUAAUCGGAAUUACUGGGCGUAAAGGGCACGCAGGCGGUUAAAUAAGUUGGAAGUGAAAUCCACGGGCUUAACAUAGGAAUGACAGUCAAGACAUGUUAGCUAGAGUCUUGUAGAGUGAGGUAGAAUUCCAUGUGUAGCGGUGAAAUGCGUAGGGAUGUGAAGGAAUACCGGUGGCGAAGGCGGCCCCCUGGACAAAGACUGACGCUCAUGUGCGAGAGCGUGAGAAGCAAACAGGAUUAGAUACCCCAGUAGUC